CCAGAACAGACAACCAAUAGGAAAGGGAAGAAAUCUAAUUCUUUGAUGAAAUCAGAAGAACCAUCUGACAGUUCUCAAAUUGAUAGCGAGAAGGAAACUGAGGCUGUGUUGGAUCAUAAAAGUGAUGACAAGGAGAAUCCUAGUUCACCUCAUGAGGAGCCAACUGCUGAGGGGGCUGUGUCUGCCCAAAAUGAAAAGGAGACUGGUGUUCAGGUUUCUUCUCCUAAAGCAACAGAAAGUGGAUCCAUGGAUGUUGCUCCUUCGUCUCCAAGCGGGAGUGUCCCAAAUGAAAGUCGUUCCCAAAGGCAUGGCCGUUCAAAGAAAAAGGACCUCGUGCUUACAGAGGGCACACCAUCUGCUGAUGAUUUUUCCAAAAAGGCGUCUGAAGGAACUAGUGAUUCAGAAGCGAAACCACCUAAACGCUCUGGGAAAAAGGUGCCUGCUGGGUCUGCUAAUGAGGAUAAAAUUCCCGUUGCAGAUAUAUCAAAGAAAGAAAGCG
rnacentral:lncRNA from 1 species